GACGAACGCUGGCGGCGUGCCUAAUACAUGCAAGUAGAACGCUGAAGAGAGGAGCUUGCUCUUCUUGGAUGAGUUGCGAACGGGUGAGUAACGCGUAGGUAACCUGCCUUGUAGCGGGGGAUAACUAUUGGAAACGAUAGCUAAUACCGCAUAACAAUGGAUGACCCAUGUCAUUUAUUUGAAAGGGGCAAAUGCUCCACUACAAGAUGGACCUGCGUUGUAUUAGCUAGUAGGUGAGGUAACGGCUCACCUAGGCGACGAUACAUAGCCGACCUGAGAGGGUGAUCGGCCACACUGGGACUGAGACACGGCCCAGACUCCUACGGGGGGCAGCAGUAGGGAAUCUUCGGCAAUGGGGGCAACCCUGACCGAGCAACGCCGCGUGAGGUGAGAAGGGUUUCGGAGCGUAAAGCUCUGUUGGAAGGCAAGAACGAGUGUGAGAUUGGAAAGUUCACGCUGUGACGGUAGCUUACCAGAAAGGGACGGCUAACUACGUG
rnacentral:rRNA from 1 species